UACAGAGGUCCCAAGCGUUGUUCGGAUUCAUUGGGCGUAAAGGGUGCGUAGGCGGCGCGGUAAGUCGGGUGUGAAAUCUCGGGGCUUAACUCCGAAACUGCAUUCGAUACUGCCGUGCUUGAGGACUGGAGAGGAGACUGGAAUUUACGGUGUAGCGGUGAAAUGCGUAGAUAUCGUAAGGAAGACCAGUGGCGAAGGCGGGUCUCUGGACAGUUCCUGACACUGAGACACGAAGGCCAGGGAGCAAACGGG
rnacentral:rRNA from 1 species